AGGUCAGCCGCGUCCCUGGGGUGCCGGUGGAGCCGCCCCUCCGCGAGAUCCGGCCGCGGAGAGAGCCAUGGUUAGGCGAGGCUGCUGGUGGGGCGAAGAAGCAGGGGAGGCAGGCUACAAGGACGGGAAGCAGCAGGUUGUCGUGGUGCGGUGCUGCUGCUGGGAAGAAGGAGGAGGUCAGCCGCGUCCCUGUGGUGCCGGUGGAGCUGCUCCUCUCAAGCAGUUUCAGAUGGCCAACCAUUAACUGUUAGAGAUGAGAAGUACCUAAUGUAAGACCAAAGGUGGGGUUCUGAUGGUUUUGCUGGAUGGCUGCAGCUAAUCGAGUGGUGUGAGACCCCUCUUGUGUCCCCAAGACAUUGGUCCAUGCUUCUUAUUUUUGGAUGCGUGCCUCUGACAAGCAGAAUUCUUGUUUCUGCAGCUACGCACAGCAAGAUUUUACACAGUUGUCAAUGUCGACCUCACUUGAUAUCUUUUGGUUUUGUCACGAGAAGAUCAAGAUCUUUGAUAAGAUAGUAAUGACACUUUGUUCUGCAAUCUAGGAAUGAAUGAAACUUCAAGACCCUGUUGAACAUGCACUCAAUUUAGCCACAAAGAAACAUAAGAACAAUUGUGUUGGGCAAUCUCACCCACAGGAGGAAAAUCUCACAGUUUGGAUGAGGAUCUAUAGUCCAAAGGUUGGUCAGGUCCUGAUGGAUUGAGAAGGUUCUAUGAUAUCGUGCUUUCUUCCAUCUCUGUUCUAUUCAUCAAGCUUUUCUCAUUUCAAAAGGAGAAUCCCUGCAGGGCAGCCACACAUGACCCCGCUCCCCAGUUUAUUCGUUCAUGGCACAUCAGCUCUUUCACCCACUUGACCCAGCGAUAAAACAAAGGGUUCAGUUCACCCAGUCAUGUCCAAAGUAGCCUCACUCCCUUGUAUUCCCUUGCAGGACUUGAUCCGCUGUCACUCUCCGACUUAUUAUCAUUCAAGAUGGAGGUUUUACUUUCCAGCUUCAGCAAUUUGUUAGAUUUGGUAAUUGAGGUCAUGAGUGCAAAAGUAAUACAGGCAUGCCAAACAAAUCUGAGCCAUUCAUGUCAUCCUGCUCCUCAUUCAUUUCAUUCAAAAAUUAAAUCAGAAAAAAUGUGGAUGUUAUUGUGGCAUCAAUACGGCUUCAUUCCGCUUGAUCCGGCAUGGCAGAUGUCAAUCUUCAUCAUGAAUGCCUAUAUGUAUUUAUUAAUAUCUUUUAUUGUUUGUGUUUAGUGAAUAAAAACUGCAGUAGAUUCCCACCUCUUAUUAUGGACGCACAAGUGCUUCACAAUGUUUCCGUUGCUGAUAUCUUUGCCCUGUCUGUCUAGGUUAAAUGUCAGUGCUUCACAAUGCGCUUUUUACUUUGCACGAUCUAACAAUGCAUGCCAGCCUUCUGAUAAUUAUACAAUAGUAUGCAGCGAUGCUACUAAGGCAUGCUGAAUGCGGAGUUUUAUUUCAUUUAUGUUAGUACCCAUGCGAAUAUUGAAUUGUUUUACUUCGAUGGUUUAACACAUGUCAUAAUAUAGUUGGUAGUUAGGAGAUGGCAUUAAUCUUUUUGUUUCUUUAGCAAAUACUCCCUCCGUUUCAAAAUAGAUGACUCAGUUUAGUACAAAGUUAAUACAAAGUUGGGUCGUCUAUUUUGAAACGGAGGGAGUAGUUCUCAUGUUACAAGGUGCGUGGACAAACAGAUGCAAGGGGCAUUGUUUCACACAACACCCACACCAAUGACCACUGGACGAGUGAAGCAAAAGGACUUGUGAACAACAUGAAAAAGUUUCAGCCAUCUUUUGAUUACACGGAAAUAUGCCUUUGAUGCAUCCGUGUUAUUAUUCAGUGACCGAUUGUGUUUAGCAACUUCAGUGUGUAUACUCUUCAGUAUGUAGCAUCAAGUUAGUGCUAGAUACAUUCAUUUGAGGAACAAACUUGGGACAAACUUUUUCGGACGGAGGGAGUAUAUGAUGUAAUUGACCACUAUCACUAAGAAGUGCUCCUGGACACAAUGCUCUAUAUUAUCAUGUCUUUAGUGCAUUUUAUUGUGCCA